AAAAAAAAGAAAAAGAAAGAGACAAACGUGGAGAAGAAGCCGCGGCCGUAAAAUAUGAAAUGUGUGCUUUUAAACGUUGAUUCCCGAGGGGGGAGUUUCUUUCUUUUUUGAAAAACUUUUGCCUUGAAGCGACGCAAACGAGCCCGCACGCUGCGCCGGAGGAGUUUCCUGUCGAGCCGGGGAGCGCGCACGGAGAAUCCGGGCAGCAGAGCGCAUAGGAAAUGACUCAUAGGACUCCGACUGUUCGCGUGGGUGUGUGUGCGCGCUCGCGUGCGGGUGCGCGUGCGCGCUAAUAAAACAGGGCUCGGGCUCCGUGCGGCUGACUCACUCCGAUGCGCUGCCGCCUCUCCCCCCCUCGUCCCGGACGCCAGCACGGGCUGUUUUAAACCCGAUGAGCUUUCGGGACGCGAGCAGCCCGGCAGCGAGCAGCUCUCCCCCCGCGCGCCUCAUGGCUCCCGGCGCCCCGCGCGCGCUCUGCGCGCUCAUCAUAGCGGCCGCGACGCAUUUCUACGCCGUCGGCGCACAGAAAAGUAAAUCUGUGGAUCAGACGCCUGACGUGUGGAAGCUGGCGGCCAUCACCAGCUUCUCGGUGCUCGCCGUCGUGCUGGUCGGGGCGGCGCUGAUCAUCGGGGUCAUGGUGCAUCGCCGCAGGUCACACAAAAGGCCUCUGCGUGACCCCAUUGAAGAAACGGCGGGGCCACUUUACCAGGCUUAAACCUUACACCUCGACCUGAUCUGGAGACAGAUGCCCCAGAACCAAAGAGCGACUGGUUCAGAGCGACCGCGACGCAGGUCAAAGGAUCUCCUCGCCAGAAUACGACAAUUUUAAUUUAUCGUGGCUGUUGAGUAAAGUGACGUGCAUUAUAUUAGUGGCAUCACUCUCAGAUGUUGUGUGCCUUCACGUCCCACUUAGAUAACGUCUCCGUCUGGAAGACCCUUGUGGUUUUUACAGAUGUUUGAUCAGAAGACUGCAGUCCUUUUCUUCAGAGGUUUUUCUGACGUAGCUCAUCUCCCGCUGCGCUGCAGUGUGACCUCCGGCCAUAAUGUGACCUGCAGGUCACUUAAAGAUGAAUAACAUGUACUGUGAGGCACAUCAAGGCCGUUUGAAUGUAUUCCAGCCUUCUUCCCUGCCUGUAUGUGCGAGCACCUGCUCUUACAGCAAAGCGUCAAGGUGUCUUCUCUUCACUGUUACUUAGGACAACGAAACAAAGACCCUCUAUUGCAGGUUUUCACUAUAUAUCUUUUUUUUGGUCUGAUUAUUUCUCUGCCACAACACCAGAUUUAACCGGUCCCGUUGUUGCCGGCCGGGACAGAACACUAGACUGACGUGUGGGGAUGUUAGUGCGCUGUAGUGAAACAUUUGGCUCCUACGUUGCUUUGGUGGAGCAACGCGAUCACUCUGCUCACCGGCUCGUUAUCGUCACACAUCUCAAGAAACACGUGGCGAUGUCUGUUCGUGGGUUUUUUGAGUUGUUGUCCUCCAUUUCUUCAGUUCAGGACGUCCUUCUGUCUUCGUCAGCGUAACCGAUGUAUUCCACGCGGCCGAUGAGGUUUCAGGUCAUAUUUUGGAUUUGUCAGCUCGUGGGUGAAGUGCUUGUCCUUUGGCAGCACCAUUAGGGAAUUACUUAAAACACAGACACUCCCUCUCGUUUUAUAUAUAUACAUAUAUAUUAUUUAUUUGUAUGAAUCUUGUGUUGUUUUCCAUACAUUUCAUGUGACAAGCACAUUUUUAAAGGGACUCUAGUGAAGAUUUUUGUUACACUUCAACCAGGCCAGCUGAGCAAUAAUUUACAUUUUCCGCUAACUUCUCUUGCAUUUUAUUCCCAAUGUAUAUACUGUACAUGCACUGGCUUCUUCUAUGUAAUGCAAUCUUAUAAACUGCUUUGUAUACCAAAUGUAUUUUCACAAUAAAACUGACAACUUCCCAUAGAAGUCUUGUUUAAAUGCAAACAGCAAAAAACGCUCUUUUCUGCUAAGUAACAUUUAUUUUAAGGAUCCUAAUAUGCAAAUCAUGGGUUAUGUUGUUGAAUAGUGACAAGUCACAAGAAAUGCAUAAAUAGAUCAUGGUAAUAUCUAUAAUUAAAAUAAAGACAUUAUAGUAUGUCAGAAAAUCUGUCAAAUACUAGUUGACUAAGCCUAAAAAAAUUCCUUGAAAUAGUAAAUUAUAUUUUGUCAAAAAUAAUAAAGGCAUAGAAUUGUUAAAAAUACACGUGAA
ensembl:lncRNA